GCCUCCGUAGCUCAGGGGAUAGAGCACCGCUCUCCUAAAGCGGGUGUCGCAGGUUCGAAUCCUGCCGGGGGCACCC
rnacentral:tRNA from 1 species